GAGUUUGAUCGUGGCUCAGGACGAACGCUGGCGGCGCGCCUAACACAUGCAAGUCGAACGGGGAUAAAUCAACGGAAGGCUUCGGCCGGAAGAGGAUAUAUUCUAGUGGCGGACGGGUGAGUAACGCGUGAGUAACCUGCCUUUCAGAGGGGGAUAACGGCCGGAAACGGCCGCUAAUACCGCAUAACGUAAAGGGACGGCAUCGUUCUUUUACCAAAGGAGCAAUCCGCUGAGAGAUGGACUCGCGUCCAAUUAGCCAGUUGGCGGGUAAAGGCCCACCAAAGCGACGAUUGGUAGCCGGACUGAGAGGUUGAACGGCCACAUUGGGACUGAGACACGGCCCAGACUCC
rnacentral:rRNA from 1 species